rnacentral:rRNA from 1 species
CGCCCUUUUCCGGUUGAUCCUGCCGGAGGCCACUGCUAUUGGGGUUCGGCUAAGCCAUGCGAGUGGUGGACGUUCCGAAAGGGAUGGCCCCGCACACGGCUCGGUAACACGUAGUUAACCUGCCCUCGGGACGGGAACAACGCCGGGAAACUGGCGAUAAUUCCAGAUAGGUGGGGGACGCUGGAAUGCCUCCUUGCCUAAAUCCUCUGGGGCCCGAGGAUGGGACUGCAGCCUAUCAGGCUGUUGGCGGUGUAACGCACCACCAAACCUACAACGGGUACGGGCGAUGGGAGUCGGAGCCCGGAGAUGGGGACUGAGACAAGGCCCCAGGCCCUACGGGGCGCAGCAGGUACGAAAACUCCGCAAUGCGCGAAAGCGUGACGGGGGAACCCCAAGUGCCGUUGGUCUUUGAUCGACGGCUUUUASGAAGUAUAAGAAGCUUCCAGAAUAAUGGCUGGGCAAGUCGGGUCCCAGCCGCCGCGGUAAUACCCGCAGCCUACGUAGUGGUCKCGAUUAUUGCRGCUAAAGCGCUYGGAGGCGGUUCAGCAAGCCCCUUGUGAAAUCGGGCGGCGUAACCGUUCGGCUUGCACGGGAAACUGCUGGUUUUGAGGCCGGGCCACCUCUGAGGUACUCCGGGGGUAGCAAUAAAAUGCUGUAAUCCUCGGGGGACCACCAGUGGCGAAGGCGUCUGACGAGAACGGUCCUCCCGGUGAGGGGCGAAGGCUAGCGGAGCUAACGGGAUUAGAUAGCCCGGUAGUCCUAGCUGUAAAGCAUGCGGGCCAGGUGUCUGGUGUUCCCUGAGAGCAGCAAGUGCCGGAGGGAAGCCGUUAAGACCGCCGCCUGGGAAGUACGGCCGCAAGGCUGAAACUUAAAGGAAUUGGCGGGAAGGGCGAAU